rnacentral:rRNA from 1 species
AUUGAACGCUGGCGGCAGGCUUAACACAUGCAAGUCGAGCGAGCGGCGGACGGGUGAGUAAUGUCUGGGAAACUGCCUGAUGGAGGGGGAUAACUACUGGAAAAGGUAGCUAAUACCGCAUACUCUAAGAUGCGCCCAGAUGGGAAUAGCUAGUAGGUGGGGUAAUGGCUCACCUAGGCGACGAUCCCUCGCUGGUCUGAGAGGAUGACCAGCCACACUGGAACGGAGACACGGUCCAGACGCCUACGGGAGGCAGCAGUGGGGAAUAUUGCACAAUGGGCGCAAGCCUGAUGCAGCAAUGCCGCGUGUGUGAAGAAGGCCUUCGGGUUGUAAAGCACUUUCAGCGAGGAGGCGUUACUCGCAGAAGAAGCACCGGCUAACUCCGUGCCAGCAGCCGCGGUAAUUC